CGGAGGAGCUAGCGUUGUUCGGAAUUACUGGGCGUAAAGCGUACGUAGGCGGUUAUUCAAGUCAGAGGUGAAAGCCUGGAGCUCAACUCCAGAACUGCCUUUGAAACUAGAUAGCUAGAAUCACGGAGAGGUUAGUGGAAUUCCGAGUGUAGAGGUGAAAUUCGUAGAUAUUCGGAAGAACACCAGUGGCGAAGGCGACUAACUGGACGUGUAUUGACGCUGAGGUACGAAAGCGUGGGGAGCAAACAGGAUU
rnacentral:rRNA from 1 species